CCUUCGAUAGCUCAGUUGGUAGAGCGGUGGACUGUAGUUAACGGAAUGCACAAAAAACCAACAACAAAAAAAUCGUUCGCUUCGUUGCUCUUAAAAGCAGCGAAUCGAACACCCCUCUGUGCAGACAUCCAUAGGUCGCUGGUUCAAAUCCGGCUCGAAGGA
rnacentral:tRNA from 1 species